rnacentral:rRNA from 1 species
CAAAAACAUGUCUCUUUGUGAAAUAUAAAUAAAGAGUCGGGCCUGCUCGGUGAAUAAGUUUUUAACAGCUGCGGUAUUUUAACUGUACUAAGGUAGCAUAAUAAUUUGCCUUAUAAUUUGAGGCUAGAAUGAAUGGUUUGACGAAGGUUAAUCUGUCUCCACUUUAUUUUUUAGAAUUUAAUUUUUAAAGUGAAAAAGCUUAAAUUUUUUAAAGGGACGAGAAGACCCUAAUGAGCUUAUAAUUUUAUUAUUGUUGUGCAAAACAUUUGGUCAAUAAUAUAUAAAUUUUAAUUGGGGUGAUUGAGGAAUAAAUUAGAUAAAGUAACUUCCUUAAAUUAAAUAUUUAUAGAUAAAGUAACCAAUAUAAUAUUGCUUAUAAUAUAGUUACCAUAGGGAUAACAGCGUAAUUUGUUUAGAGAGUUCUUAUUGAAAAACGAGAUUGCGACCUCGAUGUUGGAUUAAAGUAACCUUAAGGUGCAGAAGCUUUAGUAAGGUAAAUCUGUUCGA